rnacentral:lncRNA from 1 species
GGAUGUUGCUCUGAAAAGGGCCGCUAAUACGACAUUGUUCGGGUACGUCAAGAAUCGUAUGAAGGUUGUGAUUGAUCAAUAAAGGAUUCGUCACUCUUAGAUAGUAGGAGAUUAUGAUCUACGUUUCAUUCAAUUAAGUCAAUGAUCAAAUCCUUGGCCAAGGUGUACUCAUAAGUCGAAAAGGAGUUUUCGAUUUAUAUUGACUUAAUAGUGGAGUGAAAGAUAUGAUCGAUGAUCGAGAUUGACACAAUUCCAUAUCUCGUAAUUGAUCGGAUCAUAUUGACGAAGGGAUUAUAGUUUCACG